GGACCGGUACAGAGAUGUGCCCUUUCGCAAGAACUGCUACAGAGGUGCUGCAUGGCUGUCGUCAGCUCGUGUCGUGAGAUGUUGGGUUAAGUCCCGCAACGAGCGCAACCCUUACCCUUAGUUGCCAGCGAGUAAAGUCGGGAACUCUAAGGGGACUGCCCGGGUUAACCGGGAGGAAGGUGGGGAUGAUGUCAAGUCAUCAUGGCCCUUAUGUCCAGGGCUACACACGUGCUACAAUGGGCGAUACAAACCGUUGCGAAGUCGCGAGAUGGAGCUAAUCGGAGAAAGUCGCCCUCAGUUCGGAUUGCACUCUGCAACUCGAGUGCAUGAAGGUGGAAUCGCUAGUAAUCGUGUAUCAGAACGAUACGGUGAAUACGUUCCCGGGCCUUGUACACACCGCCCGUCACAUCACGAAAGCCGGGAGCACUUGAAGAGGCUGAGGUAACCCGCAAGGGAGCUAGGUCUCAAUGGUGAACUUGGUGAUUGGGGUGAAGUCGUAACAAGGUAACC
rnacentral:rRNA from 1 species